rnacentral:rRNA from 1 species
ACACGUAGGAUCCGAGCGUUGUCCGGAAUUACUGGGCUUAAAGGGUGCGUAGGCGGCUUGGCAAGUUGGGUGUGAAAUCCCUCGGCUCAACCGAGGAAUUGCGCCCAAAACUGCCAGACUUGAGGGAGACAGAGGUGAGUGGAACUUAGGGUGGAGCGGUGAAAUGCGUUGAUAUCCUAAGGAACACCAGUGGCGAAAGCGACUCACUGGGUCUCUUCUGACGCUGAGGCACGAAAGCUAGGGGAGCGAACGGGAUUAGAAACCCCAGUAGUCC